rnacentral:lncRNA from 1 species
AUGACUUGGAGAUGGACUCCCUUAAUUCUUUAGAAAAUCAUGCAUCAUAAAAUUGAGAGAAAUGCAACUUCAAAUGUUCAAUUUCAAGACAAAUUGGUGUUCCACAACUAGUAUUGGCAUGAUCUAAUAACAUCUAACUUUCUACGGAUAAUCAUGCAUAUAAAACUUGAGGCUGACUUAAAAUGUUAAAAAAAAAUUGUUUUUGAGGCUGACAUAAGUAAAGGAGUUGAAUUGUUUCUAUUUGUAUGUAUCCUUUAGAGUGCAAUAAUAUUCAUACAAGGGUCCCCCUCUCUUUCAUUACCAUCGAAAAUAGAUUCAUUCAAACGCUUUUUACUUGCAAUCGAUUCUCCAAUACAAAUGACGACAGCACCAUACUCCCCAAAGAAAUGACCAAUUUAGGAGGAUCUUUUUUACAUGAAAUUUUGAUAUUCACUUCAAAAUUAUCAUAUGGGUAAUUUUCACAAAAAAAAAAAAGGAUUUUAAAUAGGGUUGAGAAUGUGUCG